rnacentral:lncRNA from 1 species
GGUCUUCACUUGAGAGGGAUGAACCUGGAGGAGUGAGUAGCACCAACACCAGGCCUACCGUGCUUAACUGGCUUGUACGAGAUGGAGAACUCAGCAAGGUAAUGUCCAAUCAUCUCAGGCUUGAUCUCGACUUGGUUGAAAGUCUUUCCAUUGUACACACCGAUGAUGCUUCCAAUCAUUUCAGGCACAAUGAUCAUGUUCCUCAAGUGGGUUCUCACUGGUUCUGGCUUCUCACCAGCUGGUGCCUCUCUUUUCUGAUCAAGCAAAACAAAGCAGUAAUCUUUAGAAGUUGAACCAAUUUGGUUGCAUAGAACAAACAUAAAAUUUCUCAAGCA